ACCUAUGUGGGCUGGGUCCAGUGUUACCAGGUGUCCGAUAAUUAUCGUAUUUGUACGAUAAUUUUGCUCUCUGUACGAUCAAUAUUCCUAAAAAAAAAAAAAAAAAAAGGCCAAAUGUACGAUAAUUUGACCAUUCCGUGAAUGUGUCUAUCGCCAAAGUCUGUCGGGAAAGAAAUGUGGUUUAUUUUUCUUUAGCCGGAACUGCAGUCAGUUUUAUCCUCACCACAAAAUGAGAGAAGAGCUGAACUUGUUUCUGUGCCUCAACCAUUUCCUGCAAAGUCUGAUAAAAACACUUUCUUACAAGUUGUAAACAGCGUCUUAUAGAAACCUCAUCAAGAAAGCUUCAACACUACGCCAGAUGCGCAGUCAGAUUGGAUCCAGAGCAUUGGUCAACACCAUACAUUUAUCUCCAUCCAGCCUCUCUGUCCCCGCAUCCCCACAGCAUGAUGCCGUCACCAUCAUCACGACGUCCGACUAUGUUCCGGCACUUUUCCAUAAGGGACGGAUUUGAGAAAUGCAAAACUCAUAAAUUACCCAGUCGACAGAUUAACCCACCAGAGGUGUGGCUCUCUGCAGCUCCUCCACAGUCACCCUGGGGCUCCUGACUGUUUCUGAUGAAUCUUGUGCUGUACUCUUGCCAUUUUAAAAGGAUGGACCUGUUCAUUGGUGUUCAGGUUGUUGUUCAUUCCCAAAUUGUUUUCACAGAACAGCUGUAUUAUACUGAGUUUAAAUUACACCUGUAGUUAAAUUACUGUAGUUGGUUUCACUGGAUUUUAUUUAGGAGUAAAGAGGGUUGAAUCAAGUGCACACAACUUUCAGAUUUUAAUGACUCAUUUUUCUUUCACCUUUGCAAAUAUGCAUUAGUCUGUAUUGUUUCCAACACAAAAACUGUGAAAUACCUUGAAGUUUGUUUUGUAACCAAACAUUUGAAAAGGCUUAAGUUGUAUUAAUAUUUCUGCAAGGCGCUGUGAUUGCACCAUCCUUACUGCAUCGUGAGCUUUGAAAACUUGAUUCAUACUUUAUGUCAACCUCUGGAUAUUUUUUCUACCAUAUUCAGACAGGGACUAUUUUAGGAGAGAAAAGUGAAACUUUUAUACAUUUUAUGAGACAAACACUGUAAAAAGUGAGGGCGAUAAAUCCAUAGAUUUCAUUAGUGUUAUUUACUUUAAGUCAUCUGUGAUCGGCAACAGCUGAACUGAAGGAGGAACCAUUUAAAAAUAAACUAGCUCCAACAGGUCUGAAUUCAUACUGAUGAUAAAGGUUCCUGGUAAAAAUUACAUUUGACAUCCUAAAGGUGAAAACUAUUAUGAAGGAAUUAGACAGGAUUGUUUGUGCAGUUUUCAACAUGAGGGCUGCAAGAUCAGGAAAAUGUGAAAUGAUAUUGGUGCAAGAAUUGAUAACGAUAUGACUUGCAAUAAAUAAAGUUUUAAUGUGUUUCUGCUUUAGGUUCAUAUCAUACCAAACAGAAUUUAUAUUUUCUUCUCAGAAUCAUGGUUUUAUUGAACAUUUUUGCUUCUGACUGAGAUCUGCUGUUUUUGCAUUGAAACAUCGUCCAAGUUUCAACCGUCUUUACCUUCUGACAACCUUUUAUGCUGCUUUAAACUAGUGUCACCAAAUAUGUCCCAAUCAUGGAAAGCCUGAAUGCGUGGUACUUAAUUAGCUAACAGCUGUUAUAUGCACUGAUAUUAAGAGAAUGUGCAAAGGAUUGCUCAGCCCUAAUAAACACCUUGAUUCUG